rnacentral:rRNA from 1 species
CGCUGAACAGCUAGCCCACCUAAUUACAUCCAUCUCACACAUAUUACUACCCCCUAAUAUACGGACCCCCAAAAAACAAACCAUUUUCCCCUUUUAGUAUGGGAGACAGAAAAAAACCAAGGCGCAAUAGAAAAAGUACCGCAAGGGAACGCUGAAAGAGAAAUGAAACAAAUCAGUAAAGCAUAAAAAAGCAGAGCCCAACCCUCGUACCUUUUGCAUCAUGAACUAGCCAGUAAUACUUAAGCAAAAUGAAUUUUAGUUUAAUUCCCCGAAACUAAGUGAGCUACUUCAAGACAGUCUAAUAGAAGGACGCACCCGUCUCUGUGGCAAAAGAGUGGGAAGAGCUUCAAGUAGUGGUGACAGACCUAUCGAACUUAGUUAUAGCUGGUUGCCUGAGAAAUGAAUAGAAGUUCAGCCCCUUUUCUUCUUCCCUCACCAUCGGCCCUUCCUACAAAACCAGAACAAAAGAAGAAAAGAGAGUUAGUCAAAGGAGGGACAGCUCCUUUGAAAAAAGAUACAACUUUAAUAGGCGGGUAAGGAUCAAAGAUAUCUAAGGCUUAAUGUCUCGGUGGGCCUAAAAGCAGCCAUCCUAAAAGAAAGCGUUAUAGCUCGAGCACUACACUUAAGCCCCCAAUUCUGACAAACCCCUCCAACCCCCCUUAACCUAUCAGGCCCUCCUACGUCAUCAUAGGAGUGAUAAUGCUAAUAUGAGUAAUAAGAGAUAUGAAUCUCUCCAAGCACAAGUGUAAAUCAGAACGGACCCCCCCACUGAAUAUUAACGGCCCCAAACCAAGAGGGUACUGGACCAGGAAAUAGAUCACUAGAAAACCUUCCAACAUUAACCGUUAUCCCCACACUGGAGUGCCCCCUGGAAAGACUAAAAGGAGAAGAAGGAACUCGGCAAACAUAUUUCAAGCCUCGCCUGUUUACCAAAAACAUCGCCUCUUGUUCAAAGCAUAAGAGGUCCCGCCUGCCCGGUGACAAAGGUUCAACGGCCGCGGUAUUUUAACCGUGCGAAGGUAGCGCAAUCACUUGUUUUUUAAAUGAAGACCUGUAUGAAUGGCUCCACGAGGGCUUAACUGUCUCCUUCUCCCAGUCAAUGAAAUUGAUCUCCCCGUGCAGAAGCGGGGAUAAGUACAUAAGACGAGAAGACCCUUUGGAGCUUUAGACGACAGGUAGACCAUGUCCCUCCCCCCAAAUAAAAGGAACAAACUUAUUGGUACCUACCCUUAUGUCUUUGGUUGGGGCGACCACGGGGAAACAAAAACCCCCCAUGUGGACUGGGAGUCGUCAUUUACUCCUAUUACCAAGACCCACAGCUCUAAGUUUCAGAACUUCUGACCAAAAAGAUCCGGCAACGCCGAUUAACGGACCAAGUUACCCUAGGGAUAACAGCGCAAUCCCCUUUUAGAGCCCAUAUCGACAAGGGGGUUUACGACCUCGAUGUUGGAUCAGGACAUCCUAAUGGCGCAGCCGCUAUUAAGGGUUCGUUUGUUCAACGAUUAAAGUCCUACGUGAUCUGAGUUCAGACCGGAGUAAUCCAGGUCAGUUUCUAUCUAUGAAAUGUUUUCUUCUAGUACGAAAGGACCGAAGAGAAGAGGCCUAUACAAAAAGCACGCCUCCCCCUUACCUAAUGAAAACAACUAAAAUAGGCAAAAGGACAUACUCUAAUGUCUUAGAAAACGACAU